CCUACGGGUGACAGCAGUGGGGGAUAUUGCACAAUGGGGGAAACCCUGAUGCAGCGACGCCGCGUGGGCGAAGAAUUAUUUCGGUAUGUAAAGCCCUAUCAGCAUGGAAGAAGAAAUGACGGUACCUGCGUAAGGAGCACUGGCUAAAUAGGUACCAGCAGCCACGGUCAUACGUAUGGUGCAGGCGUUAUCCGGAUUUCGUGGGUGUAACGGGAGCGCAGGGGGGAAGGCAAGCCUGAUGUGAAAGCCCGCGGCUCAACCGCGGGAUUGCAUUGGGAACUACCGGGCUGGAGUGCAGGAGAGGUAGGCGGAAUGCGUGGUGUAGCGGUGAAAUGCGUAGAUAGUAGGAGGAACACC
rnacentral:rRNA from 1 species